rnacentral:tRNA from 1 species
GCGCCCGUAGCUCAAUCUGGAUAGAGCUGCAGACUUCGGAUCUGAAGGUUGCAGGUUCGAGUCCUGCCGGGCGCACCA